AUUGAACGCUGGCGGCAGGCCUAACACAUGCAAGUCGAGCGAGCGGCGGACGGGCGAGUAAUGUAUGGGGACUGCCCGAUAGAGGGGGAUAACUACUGGAAACGGUAGCUAAUACCGCAUACUAUCGGAUAACCCAUAUGGGAUUAGCUGGUAGGUGAGGUAAUGGCUCACCUAGGCGACGAUCCCUAGCUGGUCUGAGAGGAUGAACAGCCACACGGGGACUGGGACACGGCCCAGACUCCUACGGAGGCGGCGGUGGGGAAUAUUGCACAGUGGGCGCAAGCCUGAUGCGGCCGUGCGGGGUGUAUGAGGAAGGCCCUGGGGUGGUAAAGUACUUUCAGUCGGGAGGCGUUACCGACAGAAGAAGGACCGGCUAACUCCGUGCCAGCAGCCGCGGUAAUUC
rnacentral:rRNA from 1 species